rnacentral:lncRNA from 10 species
GUCCAGAUACACCUGAAAGAAGAAUGACUCAAGCUGGGUGUGUAAAGCUACACUUUGGAGGAUAGAGCUUCCCACAGGUGCAAUGGAACUCUCACUUCUCACUUGCUCAGAAAUUAUGAUCUGCAGUGUGAGUCUCCCCUGGUAAGGAAACAUGUCCAGCUCCUUGAAACAUGUUCUAGAGAAUAGCAUUCAUUACCCUCCCAUGAACUUAAACAUGCUUCUUGGCUCCUGUGCAUUUUAGGUGUUGAAAUUUCCAGGAUGCAAAACGAAGGGGCAAUUCAAAACAUUCAUCUCCACUUCUCAAAAAGCUUGUGUUUCCUGAAUGGCUUCCCCCUUCCUGUUGAAACUGCAAGGCCUGCUGCCCUUUGCUCUCUGGGAUCUUUUUUUUUCCCUUUCAACACAAAAUAUGCUUGGGUGGAAAUUCUUUUCUCUGAAUCUUCUGCUCAGCCUGAAAACUUGAUUUUGAUAGAAGAGGAAGAAUUUUGCCUGGUUUUCUUGGCUUGAUUGAUUUGGUGAGCUGAAAGAAAGACACUGCUUCAUCAGAAUUCAAACAACAGAAAACAUCUCCCAGACAUCGAGUCAUGAAUAUGGAAUGACUUCACCUGACUUCACUUGAAAUUCACUUAAUUUUCAACUCUGUUGGCUAUGAGAAAAGGACAUCCAGGCCUCACACAAAAAUGGAUCAAUGAAUUGAAACUCACCAAAUCACCACCACCAGACAACGGGAUGCUGAGUCUCAUUCAUCAUGAUUGCUUCCUGAAGCCUUCUGAGUUCCUGUUUCCCUACACAUUGUUACAUUUCUUCCCUGCAACAUAAACCCCCAAUUUUAGUCCAUCAAGGUUAUAGAUUUGAGACUGAUCUCCCAUUUCCUUGGCUGCAACACCCAAUUAUAGCCUUCUUGGCAAUAAUUGUUGUCUCAGUGAUUGGCUUUCUUUGUGGCCAGCAGCAGGACCUAGACUGAACACCUGAUUUUCUGGUAACAGUAUAAUUUUUCUUCUUUUGUCUAUUGUGGUAGGUUACAUUGUUUGAUUUUUAAAUUAAACUGGCACUGCAUAGCUAGAGUAAAUGUGACUUUGUUGUGUUAAUUUUUAUAUGUUGUUGAAUUUGAUUUUCUUGUGUUAUGUUGAGAAUUUUACAUAUAUCUUUAUAAGAGAUAUUUGCUCGUAAUUAUCUUUUUGUAAAAUAUCUCUGUUUUUGCUAUGAAGGUUAUAAAAGUAAUUUUGGGAGUGCUCCCUAUUUUCUAUUAGAGAAUGAGGGAACUGGUACCAAUACUACCUUAAAUGUUCAAUAGAAUUCACAUUCGAAAUUAUCUAGGACUGGUUAUCUUUUGAGAAAAGUUGUUAAACAUUAUUCAGUGUCUUUAAUAGAUAUAGGCCUGUUCAGUUUAUCUAUUUCUCCCCAUGUGAUCAAUGGAAAUUUGUGUCUUUCACGUGAUUUUUCUAUUUCUUCUAAGUCAUCAACUUGUUGAUAUAAAGUUAUUCACAAUAUUCUUAUCCCUUCAAUGUUCAAAGAUUGUUAUUAAUAUUCAUGAAACUGGUAGUACUGAUCUUGCUUUCUUUUUUGAUAUUGUAUUGCACAUCUUUUCUCUUUUCAUGUUCAUUAAUUUGUGUGGAGGUUUAUCAAUUGUAUUCAUUUUAUUAAAGGACAAGUUUCUGGUUUUAUUAA